GAGGGGGAUAGGAGAGGCAAUGGAUUAAUGUGAACGGUUCAAGAUAAAAAGGCUGGAGCAAGUAGCUCCAGGAGUAGGAGACGUGGACUGAGACAGCAGAGUUCUCCCUUGGUCUGCUGACAUGGAGUCACAUGACUAGGGAGUCCCGGAAGUAACUGAGACUAUGAGACUUCACUGAGGAUUUCAAACAGGGAGCCCAAACCGUGUCUAUGCUGUAGGUCCAGCCUGGUGCCAAAUGGCAAGACUGCUUUGCAUUUUAUAAGCACAGAAUCGUCUUUAUGGAAAUAAAAUAAAAAUAAUAGCUAGUGUCCACAGUGUUUACUGUGAACUGAGCAUUUCAUGUCCACUAUCUCAUUUAACUCACAUCACAGGCCUGAGGUGUUUGAGCUGUUCUUAUGCCCAUUUUUCACACUGAGGAAAUGGAGAUCAGGAUGAAUCUAAAUAACUUUCAAAGGCUAUAUGAGUUUCCAAGUGGCCAAGUGUAAAUUCAGACCCAGUCUAGGAUGUGGGAGGCUCCUUCCUAACUACCCAGCAUUCCAUAGGGCCUCUGGGAACAGCUAUAGGGACUGAGCACUCAGCGAAGCAGACAGAGAGAGAGCUGAGCCUCAUAUACACUCACACAGAGCAAGAGAACUAAAAGCUAAAAUUAAGUCUGGAUUUUAAGUACAGUUUUUAUUGGGUACAGAAAAGUGCACAAAUUAUAAGUGUGCAGCUCAGUGAAAUGCGAACACCCAUGUAACCAGUAUCCAGAUCAAGAUAUAGAUGGUUACUGGCUCCCAGAAACCCCCACGUGCCCCCAUCCCCAAAGGUAACCAGUACCCCUGACACAAUCGCCAGAGAUUAGUUUUGUCUGGUUUUUAGUUCUAUGACUGGAAUCCCACUCUGCUGCAUUUGGCUUAUUUCACCCCACGUUAUGUUUGUGGGGGUCUCUAUGUGGCUGUCUGUGGCAGCAGUAUUUGUUUACUAUUGCUGUAUGGUAAUACAGUUACUUAUCCAUUGCAUUCUUAAUGGACAUUUGUUUUUUUUCCUAAUCGGAGGCCUUUCUGAAGAGUACAGGAAGGAACAGUCUCAUCCGUGCCAUUUGGUGAACAGAUUUAUGCCUUCACAUUGGGUGUCUUCCUAGCUGGGGAACUUGCUGGUUCACAGGACACGUGUAGAUUUAGCUGUAGUGGAUACAUCAAGAAGUUUUCCAAAGAGAAAAGACUAACAGAAUGAUUGAAAGGUUUUCUCCUACAGCAAAUGGGCAUUCAGGUAAAAACAGAAUUUUAAAAUACUGAAGGAUAUAUCAUAAAAAUUAUCACACAGUCAUUCUUCAAUAUAAGAAAUACACUGAAAAGUUAGUCCUUGUCUUGGAAAAUUGUCUAAAUAAUGGGAGUCAGGCGUGUCAAACUUUGUGGCAUGGGAGCUAAAGAGAAAACAGACUGAAAGGGUCUUGUAAGGAUCGGUGCACGCAGUAAGUAGCUGGGCAGGCUACAAACCAAGGCGGACACAGAGGAGCCGCCGGUCGUAUACUGCGAUUGCUAGUCCUCACCUUGCUGUGUGAGACCUGGAACCGUAAUGUCCCUGGAGCUCCACUUUCCCCAUUUGUAAUGGCAGACUUGCACCCACUGAGCUCUAAGUGCUAUUUUGAGUACAGAAUUGUGUGAUAUAGAUGAAAGACAGAAUGCUGCUGGCCUGUCAGAAACAGCAAGAAUUCAGUCCUAGUCACUUCCUAUUUAAUGCACCCAAAACGAGAAGAUAGAAGACCAUAGCCGUACUUUUGCUACAACAUAAAAAAUAAAAUAAAAAUUGAGGUUAGCUGGGCUGCUGCAUGAGGGAAUGCAGGGGAGCUGUAAGGGCAACUGGUGUGGGAGAAUGUUGUGGGGUAUAAUCCAAAAAUAAAGUGAUUCCAAGGUUAAAAAUAAAACUUAAAAUGUUCUCCUGGGUUCCCAAGUCACAGUGUUAAAAUGCCACACUUUGCCAUAUACAGCCCCCCGCUGUCUUUCUUCUUCUGUGUGCCUUUCCCCGCCCUCCCUUUUAGCCAGAACACCUUAAUGUACGAAACACAUUCCAGUGACUGUGUCUCUUUCCUAUUUGUAUUAUGUUUCUCAAUAACUACGUUCCUCAUAGUUUUCUUAAGUCAGAGCUUGAUUUUCAUUCUUUCUUUUUAAUAAAAAUAUGUAAGUUUACUAAUUUUCCUCUUCAUGUAGUUUUGGCUACAUCCCAUCAGUUUUGAAAUUUAACUUUCUCUGUGUCACUGUUUUCCAAAGAGUCUGCUUUUGUAUGGUUUCCUUCUAUGUCUUUUUAGCUGCAAUACCAAUUAAUAAAGUUUAGAAUCAACUGACACAUGGUCUUAAGUUGAAUAAAACCCAUCUUGAUAGUAUCCAUAAGAAGUCUGUCAUGCUUGUUACGUUUUUGAAAUUUUCCCAGAAUCUAUCCUUGUUCUUUCCGCCUGGAUCUGCUUUAAAAAGGGAACGCAUCCUGUCACGUGGGUAACAUUAGCUUGUCUUUGCUUUGCCGUGUUGAGACAAGAAAGCAAACCAAGCCAGCUGUAUAAGCAGCCCACAAACCAUGUCAUCUCUCUUCGCUGCCUCCUCUUCAUCCUCACUGACAUCUGAGGCCAAGCCAGCGCCGUGGGGCUGCCCUGAAUUUUGUACAGGUAACGAUUUCCUUUGUAAACACGUAUUUUGGACAUUGAAAUUAAGUGCACAGAAAAAAAAUUAUGGAACCCCAAAGACCAUAUUGACCUUUAGAGGAUUACUCUGAUUUUGCACACAAAGAGCAAUCUGGGAUACUGCCACUGAAAAGGCGAAAGUGCAAAAUAAAAGUUUCUUUCCUUUCUUUAAAUCUUAGUCUGAAGUGACAAAAGAGUAAUAACGUUUAUCAGGCUUGUGACGCCAUGGACACAAAUCCCCUCGUUUACAUCCAUGAACAGCAGCUGAGCUUCCAGCCUGGGAGAACGGGCAGGUCAGAGCGGUGCAGGGCCAGCAGUGGGCAGGCACGGGCUGGCAGCACUUCCGUGUGAGCAGGAAGAAAGAGUGGGCACCCACUGCGGCCCUUCCCCGCCCACUUAGGGAACCGAAACCCAGAGUGAAAAGACCCUCUUGGGUGCUGCAGUAUGCCAAAUGCCCUUCAGAGGUACAGAGCCUAUGGAGCAUUUAACACACAGAAAUGACAGGGAGAAACCCGGCAGUCAGCUGUUAUCAGGUCUAGCCAGGUUCCAGUCCAGAUUUACGCGCAUUCUCCCACUGAAAGUUCAUGAAAACCCUGGAAGUUAGGCAUUUCAGAGAUGACAGAGCUGAGACCCAGGGAAGGUAAGUGACUCGCCCCAUCAGCACAGAGUUGCACCGCCUGGCAGGCCAAGUCAUCAGUGGUUCGCAAGCCCCACACGAGAGUCUGUGAACUGAAAGCCAAACCUUCCUUCUUCUUUACUCCUCUCCUAUUCCUCCUCUGAGGUACACGGGCCAUUUUCCAAUUCAUAUUUUGUAAUUCACUGGGAACCAACUAGUAAAGAGCAUAUUAAGCAGAUGAUAAGAUUAUAAAGAAAAAAGCAAGUCAUUUGGCAUAAUUAUAAGGCUUGUAAGUAAAUAUAACUUCAGAUAAUUACAUGAUAAGCUUAAAAUAUCAAGAUUUUGUUUCUUGGAUUACUUCAAAAAUAUAGUCUCAGAAAACUGGAAUAGAGAAGUAAAGAUGAAUGGUAAAACGUAAAGAGCCCAUUUCCAUUCAGAAGGAAGGGAUGAGAACACGUUUUGCAGGACAAAAACAACAAAGCACAGCUGAAUGAACAGUUGUGCCAGGUGUGAGGAGCAAGGAAGAAAGGAAAGGGACAGUGACAAUUCAGCAGCCACCCUGGCCAUCAAACGCCAUGGUAUGUUUGCUCAUCCUAAGUAAAUGCUUCUUUUGAGAAAAUAAAUAUGCUGAGACAAAGAAAAGAGAUUGGCUAUGAAAAGCAAGAAAAUGUAGACAAUACCUAGAUGAUGAAAUGAGUGUUCAGUGGAUCAAAUAAAACUCUCAUUUCCAAAAUAAGGAUUACAUCUCAAAUGCAAUUACACAUAUAAAAUAACCAAAGCAAGCAAAAAAAAAAAAAAAAAAAGGACCAGGCUUUUAAAUUUUCAUGGCAGCAGUGAUGGUGCAUCACCAAGUAGCCUAAUUUCCAUUCUUUGACUAGUCAUUCAAAAAGUUACCUAUAAGCUUCUUAUUUUGCAUUUUGAGAAAAAAUGAUGUUGUAAUUCAUGAUUUGUCCUCUAGAAAGAUGUCAGCAAUAGUCAAUUUCCACAAAGGUAAGUGAUUAAGUAUGUUACCAACUCCACUAAUUUCUGACUCUGCUAUUAUCAAUCACCUUAUGCAGACAAAACCGUUCUCUAGUUUGAUACUAAGUCAACUGUUUUAAUAUUUAAUAUGGCCAAACUCACCACAUUGGCAAAGCACAGCUCCGCCUUAAGUCUUUGUCCUGUACAUCACAACUAAAAUAAAUGGCUUUAAAACUACAAUGAGAGUACAGUACUUCUUAAAUGAAGUCAAAAGCAAAUCCUCUUUUCAUUAACAAAAGAUUAGUGUAUUUCAAGCAUUUGGGGUUUGAGGCCUUUGACAGAGAGAAUGGCUCUCAUAAAGGUAACAUUAGAAAAACAGUGCUAAAAAGAAGUCAGCAUCUCAAAUGUCCUGCUUUUACACAACACUUGGAAAAACCAAGAAUGAGCCUUUGAUAUUCUGCUACCAAAAACAACCUUCAUUCCUCCCAUUUAUUAUUGUUAAUCUUUCCUGCACAAAGUCAUAUAAUAAUGAAAGAUCCCUCGGUUGAUUUUUCCACUGGAGCCCCAAGAAGUCUGAGAUACACUCAGAGGCAUGCCUUGGGUCAACUAUGACGUUUCAGAGGUCAGGGAAAGAUCAUGGACCUGCCAGAAAUAAAGACCUCUUACAACUGCCGGAAAGGGCAUUCAAUCUGAGUGUUUGUCAGACACAGUGCAUUCAAUAUUAAGGUACACUGGAAGCCAAGUCUUCCUAAGAGAAAGGUUCCCAAACCCAAAGAUUCCUGUUUCCCAAUCCCAUUUUUUCGUUUUGUUGUGUUGGUGCAGUAGCUUCCUACUGCUCCUGUAACAAAUCACCAUGAAGUGAGCGUGUUAAAACAGUGCCCAUUUAUCAUCUCACAGUUCAUUGGGCCUCAAGGCCAGCAGCUUUGGCUGGGUUCUCUGCUUAGGGUCUCACGGGCCUCAGUCAAGGUGCUGGCUGGCCUGGGCUCUUAUCUGGAGGCUGUGGAGGGAAAUUUGCUUCCACAAGUACCCAGAUUUUUGGCAAAACUCAGUGCCUCCUUAGUUUCCUAGUGGCUCCCUCCAUUUUUAAGGCAGCGGUGAAUCCUUCUCACACUUAGAAUCUUUCCAGCUUCCCCUUUGCCAUCUGCUAGGAGGAAGCUUAGCUCUUAAAGACCUGUGUAAUCACAUUAAACCCACCUGGGUAAACCAGGCUAAUCCCGUCAUUAAAGUCACUGCGUAGUAACCUUAAGUACAUCUGCAAAGUCCUUGUGCGCACAGGGUAACAACACAUUGACGGGCGAGAUGAUGAGCUGAAAGUCACGGAAGCCAAAAUUUUGACUAUCGCAGUUGGUAGAGCGGAGAAGCUGUUUUCUAUUCUUUGGAUUCCUCAAUUCAGAAAAGACCAUUAUUCUACAAAGUGAUCAAAAUUCCUCAAAAAGACCAUUUUGCCUUGAUGAUCAUGAAUUAAUCACUAAAUCGUUUACCUGUACGUUUCUUGAAUGGAUUAAUAUUUUUAGUGUGCACCACCAUUCCAGGCAAUGCAUACUCCAGCCCUCGUCCUGAAUCCCUGGCUUUGGCUGACAAUGUCCGCGUCAUUUACUCCUACAGAAUGUUGUGGCACUGCAUCCCAGACACAGUUCCCCACAUAAAACUGACUUAGCCCAGAAUUUCUUAGCAUAGUUACUUUUUCCAAGACAAAUACUCUUACUUGAAAUUCAUUGUGCAUUUCAGCUAUUCAGAAAGGUCUUAGUGAGAAUACCUGGCAUGAGUCAAAGAAUUCCCAGGUGUGAACAGUUUUUAAAACUUCACGCAAGGGCAGGGUAACACUGAAUACCUUUUCUUUUGCCUCCAAAACUAAGCUGAAUGAUACACCAGAAUUUGUCCUCAUAUUUUUUUUCAAAUAUUAAUGAAAAAUUCAACCAACAUUUAUGUGAUUCUUGGCAGGAUAAGGCAGAACACACACUCCCUGCCUUCUAGGUUCUCGCCGCCUAGCACAAGAGAAAACAGACAGCUGUGUGGCCCGUGAGGGGGCAGAGACGGGGGGCGUGAGACACCGGCUUUGAAAUGUGUGGUAUGGAGGGCUCCCGAAAGGAGGGAACAUCUGAACCGAGUCGUGUUGGUCAAAUCUAAAUGUUCGGUAGAAGAGGGGAGAAACAGAUAUUCAAUCUAAGCUGAGGGUCCUGGCACACUCAAAGAAGGACGAACAAAAGUGAAUGCAGAUGGGGAAGAGGCUAGUGAAAACUGGGGCUGAAGAGGAAAACAGGAAGGCAUGCUUUCAAAAGCUCCUCCUCUGUGUUACAUUAAAGAAGUUAACUUGAUCCUAAAGGUAAUGGGAUGGUGGGGGUUGAGGGUGGGGAACGAAGAGUGUUAACCUGGGAAGAAACACAAUGAGGUCUGUUAUUCACAUUCUGGAUAGAGUUUGGAGAAGGCGUUAGAGAGCAAUUAGCCUGGAUUCACGGAGUGAGGAGGCUGAUGAGCCAAUAAAAGUAUAAAAUGCUUCUAGUCCCCACCCUAAGGCAGUGCUGGCCCAGGAGAUGGAGAGGAAAGAUGGGCCCUGAACUUAUUAAAGAGGUGGAAGUGGCAGGAAGUGUAAGAGAAUGGAGAGGAGGCCGCAGAGAGGAUCGCCAGCUUCCUGACACAUUGGAGCACCUUACCCCAUUGAUUCCCACAAAAGCACUGCGUCUAGUAGGCAGGGCAGUCACUUGUAUUUAUUAGAUGGGGAAAUGGCUCAGAGUGGUCCAGGGGCUUCCUCCGACUUAGCAAAUGGAGCAGAAACUUUGAUUUUUAGGUGAAGGGCCUUUCUGCUUCUCAUGCAGAAAUUUCACUCACAGUUAACCACAUCAUGAAGAUUUCAGGCUCAUCAUCCUGAAUGUGCAUUUUAGGAAGAACUCAACUGGUCUUUAAAUGAUGGGCCCAUCGUUUGCAUUUCUGAGUUGAAAAAGACAACCUAUAGGUCAAAGUGCCUGUAACUUUUAAUAACUAUACCAGUUCAGAGAGAUAAAGGAGACAAUAAAGCCCCUAAUGCUGCUAAGCAUGCAAUCACUCAACAGGUAUUAAUAGAGCACCUCUAGGCAUACUCUGACAUGAGGUCCUGAAUAAUAACCAGUUUGUUCUCAUAGUGCCUAAUACACAGAAAAACACAGAGACCAAAUUGAAAGCAUAUUUAAAGAGAAAAUGGGAAACAAGAGUUGCAAUGGAAACAGAAUGAAACGAAUACAGGAGAACCUUAGAAAAUAAUCCAGUGGAUCUGAAAUUUUAGAACCAGGAAUGGGAGGAUCAAAUGAAAUAAAAUUUCUAUAGAAAUAAAAAAACUCACAUGUUUAAAUAAUGGUUUGCUAGGAGAAAACAAUCCCAUAUUUAUACAGAUAAUUUUAUCACUUUUAUUUUUUUUUUGGUCUAUGCUCAAUUCCCCAUUCAUCAUUGGAGGGUGUAUGUGCACAUGUGUGUGUUUAAUUGAAAACCCAAGAGGGAAAUAAGUGCAUAAAGAGUGUGUUUCUCCUUGGUGAGUAAAUCCUCAAUCCUUUAGUCAAGAGAAAUAAAACCACUCCAGCCAGGUGCUGAGAGGAGCCAGUGGGUACCUGGCCAUUUCCCUGGUGGUGACCUGCCACUUCAAAGACUAAGAAGGUACCUGAGAAGUGCAUCUCCCCCGCCCCUCCCGUCACCACUAAGCCUAGACUCGCUUGUUCUGAAUGUCUGGAGUUCUGAAAGCACAUCCACCUUCCUCUCCUUUUCGAUCAGCUUCCCCCUCUUGCAAGCCAUUAAGGAUUGAAGUUGUUGCAUUAGAUUUUUCUAUCUGGUUGCCAUAGAAAAUAAAACUCCAAAAGUUAAAAAUCUCUCUUGCUCUGCUUACUGCCUGCAUAUUUUCAGUUCCAUUGAAAGUGGAAAACUUUACUUUUAUAUUUUAAGCUGUCGUCAAAAAAGUCUAUUUAUUUUCACAGAGACUGAUAGCUAAAGUCAUUUUCACAUGAACUAGGUUAAACAUUACAUUCUAGUCCUUCAAUCCACGAAUAUUAAAGAAUUCCUUCUUGGUGGCAUCAAUGAGCUGUGCUGUCAAGGACCUUAGAAUCUAGAACUCAUCACUACCACACACAAUAGGAGGUACAUGGAGAACAUUCAAGUCCCACUCAGUGAGGGGUGCGGGUGGGGUCAGAUCCUGCCAUCCAUUUCAUUAAUGCCAUGAAAGAAAACAUCAGGGUACUAUGAAAAAGUAAAAUAUCCUGCACUUUUCAGGGGAGAACUGUUUGCUAUUCCUUAUAACACAGCAAAGCUCAGCAAAAUCUAUGUAUGCACAAGAAUAAAAACUGAGCUGCUUAUUAAACAUGUAAGUUAGCUUUCUAAUUUGAAUAGGCUCCCUACUGUUUUUGUCCUAUCAUAAAAGCCAUGGGAAUCAAUUUCCUAAAAUUCCGACAGAAACUCUCUUAUCAAAAUUAUUUAAUAAAGACUAAAGGUACAGCACAGUAGCUAGUUAAGUAUGCAGAUUGCUACCUUUAAUGGCAAAAUGACAUAGGAUAGGACGGUCUUCAUUCCCACGGCACAAAAGAUGGAGGAGUCUCAUUACAGACCAUACCUUCUACGCGCACUGAAUGAGAACACGACUCACGUGGGACUGGGGUUUCACCGGGAAGCCUUUAGCUUUCUGCCAGACUCAAGGAUUUGACAAAGCUCUGAGUUCUGUGGCACAGACAACAACCCCUUCUCCUGUGUGGUUUAGCUUCGGCCUGUGACAGACACCCCCAAAUAAAAGAUAAAUUGCCAAGAGUUGAGAUUUUACUCUGAGUAAAAUAGAGUUUUGAGCAAAACAGUGGCAUGAUCUCACUUGUGUUUUUACAGGUUCACCCUGGCUGCUGGGUUGAAAGCAGGCUGUACAGGUAAGCUAUGAGAGCAGUCCAGGUAAGACCCAGGCAAGAAGGCAGCAGGGGCGGUGGUAAGAGGAAGUCAUAUCCUGGAAAAGAUUAAAAAAAUGAACUGAUAGAAUUUUUUAACACAUCGAAAAAGGGUUGUGAGAGAAAAAUGAGUCAUAUGACUUCAAGAUUUUUGGCCCAAGCAACUGGAAAGAUGGAUUUGCCACCUACUGAAAUGAGGAUGACCACAGUGGGACAGGACACAGAGGCAAAGGGGGGCGGGAGGGAAGGAGUUCUGAUAUGCUCAUAACGUCUGUCAGACAUCCAGUUGGACAUGUGGAGUAGGCAGCUGGAUAUUCAUAUAUGGACCUUAGGGGAGAGGUCUCUGCUGGAGAGAGAUAUUCAAGAAUUAUCAGUAUAGCACAAAGAUUAGAUUCAGCUAAGGGCUCUUGACACAGGAGAAUUCUCUUAGCAUUCGAGUGACAAUUCUCCUCGUGGGUGAGGGAAGCACUACUCCGGCAGAGGGAAGCCCGUCCUCUCACUUCCCUCCAGGGUUACCCAUACAUACAGUCUCUGACCUAAUUGUAGGCUUCACACAGAGCGGGAGACAGAGACAGGCAGCUGCUCUUCACCUGCAGAGCGUGAAGGUCACUUUCCAAUGGUGAAAUGAGGGAAAGGGAAUUUAAUUUAAAGAAAACCUGGUCAAACACAGUCCAAAGUAGCUGUCUGGGAGAGCCCUUUGGUAUGCCGUGUGCCCAAGGAAUCUCAUCUAUUUGGGGGGCUCCUGUUUUCCCCUCCAUUUUGCAGAUACGUUAUCUUUUGCAGAUAACGCCAACAAUGGAUCUAUUCAUCAACUUCAUGAAGGUAAGAGAGCGGUGAGGGGCAACUAAGACAAACUCAUUUUCAGCCAAAUUGACCAUAAGCCAAAAAGCAUAUAAAUAAAGAUUCAGAAUAUCUGCCUUACCAACACUAAUUUUCUGUGGGAAGCAAAAAGGCACCAGAUGCUUAAGCUUUUUAGAUGUUUGCAGUGGGUGACUAAAAAGAAGCAGUCUCUACAGAAGGAGCCUUGUAAACCCAAGCCUAAAAGUGAAGGUAAAUAUGAAACUAAUGUCUUAUAUUUAAAUCAUGCUUAUAGCUAUGAAAAAAAAUCACUCAUCUGUAUUCAAGUCCUUUCAGCAUUUAUGGACUCUGAUCUGUAGUUUUGGAGAGAUGAACAUAUAACAUCAUCUUCCGAGUGUGCUACUUUUUUAAAAGCUUCCAUUGCGAUUUACUUACAAUUCAGUUGGACAGCUCUUAAACUCACUAACCAGUUCUCUCGGAAGUGACAAAUGGGCUGCCAGGUACUGACAGAAGGAGGAAUGUAGCUGAGACAGGAUAGAGAAGGAAAUACCCCAGUCACUCAAGGAGAGCUCGGUGCCAAUUCCUCAGCAAUCAACUUAAAAUAAGGACUUUUCCACCUAUGCAAGGAUAAAACUAUCCAUUUUCCCAUUCCUAGAUAGGGAUAGAUUUAGUGAAAAUAAAACAAUUGUAUAAAAGUCACCAUGUGUGAAGUCGAAAUCUUGUUUUGAAUUUUUAUCCAGCAUUUGUUCCGCCAGGAACAUUUCCAAAAAGGAAAGGUUUUGUUGCAAUUGCUGUGACACCACACACUUGCACGGGAGCAGUGAGAACACAUCAGGAUACUCUCUCUGGCUUUCACUCCUUUCGAAAUAUUUGUGUUGCUACAAUGCUCAUUUGCCAGUCUUACGUGACUUACUAUACCUUUCAUUCAUCUGGGUGUGGUCGUACAGCUGUGAUUCCAGAAACCUUUACAGAAGUUGGGAUAAAAAUAUACUGCGAGGAAAAACCAAGAAGUCUACCUACCUUUCUCACUGUAUAGUUACACCACAUUAACAAAUUAUGGUGCACAUUAGUCUUCACUUUCACAAGCCUGAGGUAAGUCGAAUUAGUAACUUUAGGAAGCACCUAGGUCAAACUGAAUUAGUAUUACACAGACACAGAGAACAGACUGAGGGUUGCCAGAGGGGAGAGGUUUGGGGGAACGGGUGACAAAGGUGAAGGGAUUGAGAAGUACAGGUUGGUGGCAACAAAACAGUCACCGAGAUGAAAAGUACAGCACAGGGAGUAUGGUCAAUGAUAUUGAGGUAGCUCUGUGUGGGGCAGGUGGGCACUGGAAACAUCAGAGGGGCCGCUUUUGUAAAGCAGAUGCUUGUCUAACCACUAUGUUGUGCUCCUGAAACUAAUACAAAAUAAUAAUGAAUGUAAACUGUAAUUGAAAAAUACAAUUUAAUACAUAAGUACAUAGCAUGACUACACACUUGUGAGAAAAUGCCCGGAGGCUUACAAAAGUUGAUGAAAUGCUCAGUUACUUUAUCAGGUAGAUCCUCUUCUCAUAGCUAAGGAAGUCUUUACUCAAGUUUAUAUGAACAGACAGAGUUGGGUUUUACUCAAUCUUCUUCACUUCACUCACCUGUCAACUAUUUUCGUUGUUGGGGUCACGAUUAGUAGGAAAACCUUUAAAAAGUCUUUGGCUUUGCUUUAUUCUCAAACUGGGUCUUGGGGAAGGAGAGCCCCACAGAAGUGGGCCCCAGCAGCCAGGAAAGCAGCAGAGGUCCUGGGAGCAUAAGGACCCCAGGCCCCAGGGAAGGGCAGGGACAGCGGCCCAGGGAUGCGUCCCUAGGGUCGGGGCCAGGCCUGAAACACGGUAGGUGUCCACCAAUACCUGGUGAAUUAACACUUACACACAAAAUUUGCCCAAAACAUUCUGGUCAGAUUUCAUGAACUUCAGAAGUAUUUUGUAAUAUCAACAAAUUUUGCACAAAUCUAGAUAUAUAAAUUAAGGAUAAUAUUGGCCUUCUCUUUGCAUAAACUUGGGUAUUCUCUUACAGCAACACUUUUCCA